rnacentral:rRNA from 1 species
UACGUAGGGUGCGAGCGUUAAUCGGAAUUACUGGGCGUAAAGGGCGCGUAGGCGGCCUGUUAAGUCGGACGUGAAAUCCCCGGGCUCAACCCGGGAACUGCGUCCGAUACUGGCAGGCUUGAAUCCGGGAGAGGGAUGUGGAAUUCCAGGUGUAGCGGUGAAAUGCGUAGAUAUCUGGAGGAACACCGGUGGCGAAGGCGGCAUCCUGGACCGGCAUUGACGCUGAGGCGCGAAAGCCAGGGGAGCAAACGGG